rnacentral:tmRNA from 1 species
GGGGCUGAUUCUGGAUUCGACGGGAUUUGCGAAACCCAAGGUGCAUGCCGAGGGGCGGUUGGCCUCGUAAAAAGCCGCAAAAAAUAGUCGCAAACGACGAAAACUACGCUUUAGCAGCUUAAUAACCUGCUUAGAGCCCUCUCUCCCUAGCCUCCGCUCUUAGGACGGGGAUAAGAGAGGUCAAACCCAAAGAGAUCGCGUGGAAGCCCUGCCUGGGGUUGAAGCGUUAAAACUUAAUCAGGCUAGUUUGUUAGUGGCGUGUCCGUCCGCAGCUGGCAAGCGAAUGUAAAGACUGACUAAGCAUGUAGUACCGAGGAUGUAGGAAUUUCGGACGCGGGUUCAACUCCCGCCAGCUCCACCA